AUUGAACGCUGGCGGAAUGCUUUACACAUGCAAGUCGAGCGGCAGCGCGGGGGCAACCCUGGCGGCGAGCGGCGAACGGGUGAGUAACACAUCGGAACGUACCCAGUUGAGGGGGAUAGCCCGGCGAAAGCCGGAUUAAUACCGCAUAAGUCCUGAGGGAGAAAGCGGGGGACCGCAAGGCCUCGCGCGAUUGGAGCGGCCGAUGUCGGAUUAGCUAGUUGGUGGGGUAAAGGCUCACCAAGGCGACGAUCCGUAGCUGGUCUGAGAGGAUGAUCAGCCACACUGGGACUGAGACACGGCCCAGACUCCUACGGGAGGCAGCAGUGGGGAAUUUUGGGACAAUGGGGGAAACCCUGAUCCAGCCAUUCCGCGUGAGUGAAGAAGGCCUCGGUUGUAAG
rnacentral:rRNA from 1 species